UGUCUUAUGUCUCUUAAACACAGGGAUUACUACAUACUGAUCAGAACCAUAUUUAGAGUCGCUUGAUAAAAGGAAAAUGAAUACUCAUCUGUGGAUUUAGAGGCCCAGGAAGAUGGUUGUUCAUAAAGCAACAAGCACACUUACAAAGACUUUGUGUCUACCCAAGCAACAGAGAUCAGAAUGAUCCUUAUACAAGCCUAUGGUGAGACCACCCUUGGAGAACUAGGUUCAGUUCUGGCCAUGACAACUUUAAAAGGAUAUUCCCAUAAUGGAAAAAGGCACAGCAGGAGAUCUGGGGACUGAAGCACAUCUCCUAUGAAGAAAGAUGACAGCAGUGAGGACACUCUAGCCUGAACUAGGAGAGUAAGAGGAAACAUGAGAAAGCCCCCAGAAGUCUCAAAAUCCAGAUAUUUCCUCCAGUGUUCACAUCGCUGGCCAGAAAACUGCAGAUUGAGCAGCUGGCAUAAUUCCAAGCCAAGUAUUCAUUUACCUAAUAUUUGCUGGAUCUCUGGCCAUUCUUUUUGAGUCUCCAAGACA